rnacentral:rRNA from 1 species
CUACGGGUGGCUGCAGUGAGGAAUAUUGCACAAUGGGGGGAACCCUGAUGCAGCAACGCCGCGUGGAGGAUGACGCAUUUCGGUGUGUAAACUCCUUUUAUAUGUCAGGAAAAUGACGGUAGCAUAUGAAUAAGCACCGGCUAACUCCGUGCCAGCAGCCGCGGUAAUACGGGGGGUGCAAGCGUUACUCGGAAUCACUGGGCGUAAAGGACGCGUAGGCGGGUUGGAAAGUCAGGUGUGAAAUCCUACAGCUUAACUGUAGAACUGCACUUGAAACUUCUAAUCUAGAGUAUGGGAGGGGGGGAUGGAAUUAGUGGUGUAGGGGUAAAAUCCGUAGAUAUCACUAGGAAUACCUAAAGCGAAGGCGAUCUCCUGGAACAUUACUGACGCUAAGGCGUGAAAGCGUGGGGAGCAAACAGGAUUAGAUACCCUGGUAGUC